rnacentral:rRNA from 1 species
GACGAACGCUGGCGGCGUGCUUAAUACAUGCAAGUCGAACGGAAAGGCCCUGCUUUUGUGGGGUGCUCGAGUGGCGAACGGGUGAGUAACACGUGAGUAACCUGCCCUUGUCUUUGGGAUAACUUCUGGAAACUGGGGCUAUUACCGGAUAGGAGCUCCUGCUGCACGUUGUGGGUUGGAAAGUUUCGGCGGUUGGGGAUGGACUCGCGGGUUAUGAGCUUGUUGGUGAGGUAGUGGCUGACCAAGGGUGUGACGGGUAGCCCGCCUGAGAGGGUGGACGGGCACAAGAGGACUGAGGGACGCACCAGUAGGGUACGGUCCGCAGCGGUGGGGAAUAUGGCGCAGUGGGGGGAAGUCAGAUGCAGCAACGUUGCGAGCGGGAAGACGGGCUACGGGGGAUAAACCGCUGUGGAAGGUGACGAAGAGUGAGUGACGGUAAUGGGUAAAAAAGCACCGGCUAACUACGUG